GGGUGUGGGCAUCCAGAACAACUCCUCAGGCAGACUCAGCAAGAACUCAGAGGGCACCUGAGUUGCUCUAGGUGGUAACCAGCCUUAAAUAGGAGAAACAAAAAAGGAAAACUUACUAUCCCAUGACAGAUAGACAACCGGGCAGCAAGAGGGUUGAAUUUUGGGACUGCACUAGCUUUUCAAAGCCGUAAGGAGAUUUGGGAUUUCUUGAAGGCUAUUGCACGUGUUUUUGAGAGAAGUUAUUGUGAACUUGCACAAGUAGUCAUUGAUAGUGCAAAUGUAACAUUAUACAUGGUGCACUUACAGAGUGCUAUGAUGAACUGGGGAAUAGAUAUCAGCUUCCAAUCUAUUGCUUGGCAGCAGCAAUCACCAUGACAGAGAAAAAGAACAUAGAGACUCUGAAUGUUCCUCAGCCACCACCCAAUUCUAGUUAUGAAUGUCAGCUCCGUUUGUGUCUUGCCACAGGCAAAGCCCUCAAACUUUUGGUGUGCAGCACAGACACAGUAUGCCACAUGCAGAGGCGGUGACUCGCAGCAGAAGGAGUGGAACUAUGUAGUCAGCGGUGGUUCUUUUCUGGCAGACCUCUCACUAACAAAAUGAAAUUGGAAGAGCCAAAGAUCCCAAAGGACUGUGCUGUACAGGUUAGAGUGAGGCAACCUUUUCAAAACCCAACACCAGUUGAGA
rnacentral:lncRNA from 1 species